rnacentral:rRNA from 1 species
UACGUAGGGGGCGAGCGUUGUCCGGAUUUAUUGGGCGUAAAGAGCUCGUAGGCGGUUUGGCAAGUCGGGUGUGAAAACUCCGGGCUCAACUCGGAGACGCCACUCGAUACUGCCAUGACUCGAGUCCGGUAGGGGAGUGCGGAAUUCCUGGUGUAGCGGUGAAAUGCGUAGAUAUCUGGAGGAAUACCGGUGGCGAAGGCGGCAUCCUGGACCGACAUUGACGCUGAACGGCGAAAGCUAGGGGAGCAAACGGG